AACGAACGCUGGCGGCAGGCCUAACACAUGCAAGUCGAGCGAGGACUUCGGUCCUAGCGGCGGACGGGUGAGUAACGCGUGGGAACGUGCCCUUUGCUUCGGAAUAGCCCUGGGAAACUGGGAGUAAUACCGGAUGAGCCCUUUGGGGGAAAGAUUUAUCGGCGAAGGAUCGGCCCGCGUUGGAUUAGGUAGUUGGUGGGGUAAUGGCCUACCAAGCCGACGAUCCAUAGCUGGUUUGAGAGGAUGAUCAGCCACACUGGGACUGAGACACGGCCCAGACUCCUACGGGUGGCAGCAGUGGGGAAUCUUAGACAAUGGGGGAAACCCUGAUCUAGCCAUGCCGCGUGAGCGAUGAAGGCCUUAGGGUUGUAAAGCUCUUUCAGCUGGGAAGAUAAUGACGGUACCAGCAGAAGAAGCCCCGGCUAACUCCGUG
rnacentral:rRNA from 1 species